GAAGGCCUUCGGGUUGUAAAGCACUUUAAGCAGGGAGAAAAAGUUAUAAGUUAAUACCUUAUAACCCUGAUGUUACCUGCAGAAUAAGCACCGGCUAAUUCCGUGCCAGCAGCCGCGGUAAUACGGAAGGUGCAAGCGUUAAUCGGAAUUACUGGGCGUAAAGCGCGCGUAGGUGGUUUGUUAAGUUGGAUGUGAAAGCCCUGGGCUCAACCUAGGAACUGCAUCCAAAACUAACUCACUAGAGUACGAUAGAGGGAGGUAGAAUUCAUAGUGUAGCGGUGGAAUGCGUAGAUAUUAUGAAGAAUACCAGUGGCGAAGGCGGCCUCCUGGAUCUGUACUGACACUGAGGUGCGAAAGCGUGGGUAGCGAACAGGAUUAGAUACCCUGGUAGUCCACGCCGUAAACGAUGUCAACUAGCUGUUGGGAGACUAUUUCUUUCAGUGGCGCAGCUAACGCUU
rnacentral:rRNA from 1 species